rnacentral:rRNA from 1 species
ACGAACGCUGGCGGCGUGCUUAACACAUGCAAGUCGAACGGAAAGACCCUGCUUUUGUGGGGUGCUCGAGUGGCGAACGGGUGAGUAACACGUGAGUAACCUGCCCUUGACUUUGGGAUAACUUCAGGAAACUGGGGCUAAUACCGGAUAGGAGCUCCUGCUGCAUGGUGGGGGUUGGAAAGUUUCGGCGGUUGGGGAUGGACUCGCGGCUUAUCAGCUUGUUGGUGGGGUAGUGGCUUACCAAGGCUUUGACGGGUAGCCGGCCUGAGAGGGUGACCGGCCACAUUGGGACUGAGAUACGGCCCAGACUCCUACGGGAGGCAGCAGUGGGGAAUAUUGCACAAUGGGCGGGAGCCUGAUGCAGCAACGCCGCGUGCGGGAUGACGGCCUUCGGGUUGUAAACCGCUUUCGCCUGUGACGAAGCGUGAGUGACGGUAAUGGGUAAAGAAGCACCGGCUAACUACGUG